ensembl:lncRNA
GGAAGAACACAGCGGUGAUUUUAACAUUUAUUGGUGGCAGGGGGCGAAUAUAGUUUUUCAGACAACAACAACAUUUUGUCCUGUAGGCAGUGGUUGUGACAACUGUCUCUAAGUAAACGUCUAAGUACUGUCAGAAGUAUGCAAGGAACGUCUUGACAGGACAUUUUAGUUUCACUUUUUUAGCAUGAGAUAUGCUGCUGCUCGGUUCAGGUAGACUUUUAAUAUUAACACGUUUUUAAACACAAUCGAACGAAUAUAAUAAUAUAAGAUGAGGUGUACAACAUGAGAGCGCCGCGUUCACAUUGCACUGUGGCGAGAGCGAAUUAAUUUCGAAUUCUCAUAAUAACAACACAACCGCGUCACGUGACGCGUGCACGCUCUCCCGAGUGCUUUCACGCGGUUCAUUUGGCAUAUGUGAACAAGGCAAUCCCGCGCCAAAAAAAAAAAAAAAACCGAUCCUUAACAAGACCAAAAUUCAACAUUGUAAUAAUUUGAAUCCCUGUUUGGGAACAAAGCUACCGAUCUACAGGUGUGAAACCAACCUCAGAUGAAGACAGAUUAAUUUAUGAACUCUAUAUGGACUCGUGCAGGGUAAGAGCAAAAUCAAAUGCUUAUAAACUAUAAGUCUAACAACUGGUGUCCUUAAAAAAGAUAGAUGGUUCAGUAGGCAUUAUCAUGGAAUUACUGUACACUUCUAAGGACAUUUUUACAUUCUUAGGUAACUAAAUAGAGCACACUAGACCUCUUGCAGACUAGUCUGGCUACUUAUGUAUAUGGAAGACUGGGUCAUUUUUGAAAGUUCCUUUUGGCUGUCAGGAGCAAUGUAGUUUGAUGGCCGAGGGAAAGUUAUGGAGGACCCGUGGAGUUGGAGGAUGCACAGACAGUGUCAGCUUCACUAUGGAGCCAAAGGAUGGCAUCUGAAAUGGCAUGCCAUAAAAAGUGCCUCGGGCCCUUUUGGCGUCGAAGGCUGUCAUAAAUGAAGUCGGCGCUCUCUGAGGAAGAGUCAGGAAUGAUGCUUAAGAAACACGUUUGUAUUGAGUUUCCACUGUAUUUUCAUUAAUGCUAAAGACUUGUUAAAUUUACAACUUUUAAAAAACAAUUAUCAUUAUGAAGUAUAUGUAUUAAACAUGUAAUUUAAACAUAUUAAUUCAUACAAACAUAUAGAAGUUUGAUAUUUUACCCGGAAAUGUGUUCUUAAGGAACACUAAUCCUUAUAAACAUUCUAAUGAUAUUUUAACAUUUAAAAAAACACAUGAUCAUUUCCAAAUUGCAUCUGUUCACGGAAUCAGAAAAGAACAUACAUUGACCCUUUAACCGGCUACAGUGUGUUCACUGAGUUUGCACAUAGAAAAAGAGGAAGAUGCUGCGGGAGUGCCUGUAGACAUUGUCCGUACGGGCAAAUUAAUGUGGAGGAUCCUACUAAGAAGAAACUUCAACUCUUUGUUUUAUGUAUAGUAGUAAAUGUUAAGAUCGGCUGAACAACUCAUUUUGUGUGUUCCCAUAUUGAAUUUGGACUUCUUUUAAUGCACAUUCGUCUUACACUCUGUUUAAAAUGAUGAAAUACGCUACACCAGAUGUGCAACCCACACUCCAGGAAAUGGUUUGAAUCACAUCUAUCCACUGUGAUUUGACUUACAGGAGUUGGUGUGCUCCUCUGUCAGAUGAAUUCCACAAGCGGGAAUUUUCGCAGUGAUGAAUAUUCAUACGGUUACAGGCGAUCUUAAUUUUGACAGCUGUCAAUUCAGACUACGUGCUUCCUCCCUGCGCAAAAAAUGAUAUGCAAAGCCAAGUAGGAUUUUGCCCCAGGCACUGGCCGUCCAACCUGUCACACAGCAUCGCAGGGCAGGAACAAGGAAACGGUCUCUGAAUGCGGGAAUGUGUGUGUAGCAGAGCCCUGUCCCAGCUUUGCCGACUGGCGCCGAGCACGAUAUCAGGCGACGGGAGGGUCCCAAGGCGGGCACACAUUUAUCAGGAGCAAGGCCCUGUGAACGUUGACAAGGAGAUUCAUGAUCUCAACAGUUCCAGGGAGGACAGGCAGGCAAGGGGCUUGUGGCAUCGUCAGUCCGGAUGAGAG